rnacentral:lncRNA from 1 species
GACGGUUAAAAUGGUGAAUUCCAUGUUGUAUGUAUUUUACCACAAUUUAAAAAGGUAAUACAUGCUAUAAAAGAAACAAUAGGUUGGGCGCGGUGGCUCACACCUGUAAUCCCAGCACUUUGGGAGGCUGAGGUGGGUGGAUCACCUGAGGUCAGGAGUUCGAGACCAGCCUGGCCAAAAUGGUGAAAUACCAUCUCUACUAAAAAUAAAAACAAAAACAUUAGCUGGGCAUGGUGGCAGGUGCCUGUAAUCCCAGCUACUUGGGAGGCUGAGGCAUGAGAAUUGCUUGAACCUGGGAGCAGAGGUUGUAGAGAGCUGAGAUUGUACCACUGUACUCCAGUCUGGGCAACAAGAGUAAAACUCCAUCUCAAAAAAAAAAAGAAAAAGAAGAAAGAAUAGCCCUCAUAGCAGGGACCAAGGCUUCCCCUCGGGUGUGGUCAGUGACAGUGCCUCUGAGGGGCACCGUGUGACUUUAUGGGUGAAGGCCGCCAGAGCUGGGGCAGAGGUGACCGCAGGGCGGGAAACAGCAGUGCAGAGUGUGGCGUGCGGACGCCGGGUGGGUGGCAGAGCCUGGUGCACGGACCAGGGCGAGCCAGCCCCUGUGAACCUCAGGGGAUGAGCCACGGUCAGCAAAGCAGGCAGCAACCAAACGUUUUCAUUACAAUCACACUUUUAAAAAACCUUCUGUAAUUUCAGUUUGGAUUUCUCCUGUCACCCAAGAGUUGUUUUUAAACUUUCAGGUGGAAGGGCCCUUUACAAUAACAUUGUUGAUACAUUCUCAUGAUCUUUUCAUCGUGGCCAGAGCGCACGGUGUCCAGUUUCUAGCUUACAGGGUUUCCUGGUGUCCUCUUUGUGACCUGUGCCAGUGUUGCCUGUGGGUGGCCAGGUCGGGUUCCCGACUUCGCUGCACGAAAGAAUGUGGAGCGAGUCCACGGUAGGAGCAGGCAGAGGAGUCUACUGCAGAGCGAACGCCCACGCUGACAGACGGCAGCUGCUGGGUGGGGAAGCAGGCCCUGGUGCCUUGAGGGGAAUUCCCUCGUGGGAGCUGGACCUGCGUCUUCGUAAAAUCCAGGAGGAAACAUUUGGAAGAGGUCCGUCUUCAGGGCUGAGCUUCAGACCCUGCUGGAGCAGCGUUGCCUCAGCCAAGGCCGGCAGGAGAGCGCCCUUUGGGAGCUGCAGCAGGAGCCGUCCACACUGGCAAGGAGCCAUCCACACUGGCAAGGCCCUCAGAGGCCACUAGGAGCUGUUCACUGGGCACCACUGGAACUGUGGGCUGGGGGGGCCCCUCUGGGUGUCCUGAGGGCCAGGCCCGUGAGCGCCGUAGGGGCAGGUGGGAAGCAAAGCAAUAGCGUGGGAUUGGGAGGUGGCUGCCUGAAGCGUCCCCUCUCUGAGGAAGCGCUCGGCAGGAGCAGUGCUGGGGGAUGUGGCUGGACUGGAGGCAGCAGGUGGAUUUGGAGCACAGAGCCACGGGGUCCCCAGUGCUGGCUGCUUCACAGGGCGGAUGGGCUGUCUGCGGACUAAAGGAGGCUCUGGGAAGCCACCAAAGGGUUGCAGUCAGCGUGUGACUUGCUCUGUAUUUCAGAAAGGUCCCCGAGGAUCCGGUCUGGGGAGUGGAGUGGACUGGGGCCCCUGGGUGCUGAUGCCGGGUGAGGGUGGGGCUCAGCAGGGCUGCACAGGUGCGUUUCGUAAAAUCAUGAUGGACACAAGAUAGACGCGGAGUCCUGAUCCAGAAGUGUCAGCAGGGACAGCUGGUGCAGCUGAGUGUCCGGAAAGAAGGGAUGUGAGUUAAAUAAGAAAAAAAAAUCGUGCCGGGCACGGUGGCUCACGCCUGUAAUCCCAGCACUUUAGGAGGCUGAGGUGGUGGAUCACGAGGUCAAGAGAUCGAGACCAUCCUGAUCAACAUGGUGAAACCCCGUCUCUACUAAAAAUACAAAAAAUUAGCUGGGCAUGGUGGCACGUGCCUGUAAUCCCAGCUACUCAGGAGGCUGAGGCAGGAGAAUUGCCUGAACCCAGGAGGCGGAGGUUGCGGUGAGCUGAGAUCGCGCCAUUGCACUCCAGCCUGGGUAACAAGAGCGAAACUCCGUCUCAAAAAAAAAGAAAGAAAGAAAGAAAAAAAAAU